GAUGAACGCUAGCGGCAGGCUUAACACAUGCAAGUCGAGGGGCAGCAUGAGACGGAGAUUCGUCGAAGUCUUGAUGGCGACCGGCGCAAGGGUGCGUAACGCGUGAGCAACUUGCCCGUUUCAGGGGGAUAACCGGUGGAAACGCCGACUAAUACCCCAUAGUAUUGCGAGAAGGCAUCUUUUGCAAUUAAAGAAUUUCGGAAACGGAUAGGCUCGCGUGACAUUAGCUAGAUGGCGGGGUAACGGCCCACCAUGUCCACGAUGUCUAGGGGUUCUGAGAGGAAGGUCCCCCACACUGGAACUGAGACACGGUCCAGACUCCUACGGGAGGCAGCAGUGAGGAAUAUUGGUCAAUGGUCGGAAGACUGAACCAGCCAAGUAGCGUGAAGGAUGAAGGUUCUAUGGAUUGUAAACUUCUUUUAUACGGGAAUAAAACCUCCCACGUGUGGGAGCUUGUAUGUACCGUAUGAAUAAGCAUCGGCUAACUCCGUGCCAGCAGCCG
rnacentral:rRNA from 1 species